ACUAUCGUGUUUGGCAGAUAUAGACAGAGAGAGCAUGAAAAGAAAGACGCAGGGAAUUCAGCAGUUUCUUAUCAAAAGAAAAACUGAAAGUGAGGGUUUAAACGAGGGCAGCACAAGUACGUAGGCACCAGCGCCAUAGGACGGUCAACAACUGCAGUACCAGUCUGCUAGCCCAAGCCCCUCUUCACCAGCUCUAUGGGAUGGUGCAGGUUCAAAUGAUGAAAGCCAGAGUGAGGGCGAACCUGACUGCUUCAACCCACAAGAACUACCCGGACCACAGUCCCCAGGUAAUGCUUCCUCCAAUGACAUGUCCCAGUGCCUAGCAGAGGGGUCAGAGCAGACAAGUUGUGCUGCGCCACCUGGACCUGAUGACAUUUCCAAGUCUAGAGCAGACGGUCCAGUGCAACCUGUCCUCAAGGUCUUCCCCAAGACAGAGCAGGGAAACAGGAAGAGAGGAUUCAAUGACACGUGAUACAAAGACUUUACGUGGCUGGAGUAUUCUAUCUCUAAAGACUCUGUUUUUUGCUACCCUUGCCGCCACUUCUCACUUCCAAGUGCACCAAAUUCUGUAUUUAAGUCCGAAUCUGGCUUCUGCAAUUGGAAGAAAGCACUCUGCAGAAGUGGUGGUUUUAAAGAUCACUGUAAAUCUGACCAUCACAGAAGUGCCAUGUUUGCAUGGACACAGCACAAACUAGAUGGGAAUUGCUGGCCAUGAAGCUAGCUUUUGAGGAAUGGCCAUUGGCUAGAGGGAGCUACACAUCCAUUUGGAGUCUUAAUGGAUCACAGAAACCUAGAAUACUUAUGGUCAGCUAAACGGCUUAACCCCCAUCAGGCUUGGUGGUCCUUAUUUUUCUCAUGAUUUAAUUUUUCCAUUACUUUAUCGUUCUUGUAAUACUAAAGCAGAUGCUCUUUCACAUAAGGGACAGGGCAGGCUCUACUUCCUUAGGAGGCUGUGGUCCUUUAACAUCUGCAGGAAACUCCUGUGGAUGUUCUACCAGUCUGUGGUCAUCAGUGUCCUGUUCUAUACUGUAGUGUGCUGGGGGGGCAACACAUCCAGGCUGGACAAACUGAUCAGGCGGGCCGGCUCUGUGGUCAGCAUGAAGCUGGACUCUCUGGUGACAGUGGCAGAGAAGGUCUAUGGACAAACUAUUGAACAUCAUGGACGAUGCCAGUCACUCUCUGCACACUGUCCUCAGCAACCAGAGGAGCCUGUUC